CCGGACCGGCGCACGGUGAGUAACACGUAUGCAAUCCACCUGUAACAGGGGGAGUAACCCGGAGAAAUCCGGACUAAUACCCCAUAAUAUGGGCGCUCCGCAUGGAGGGUUCAUUAAAGAGAGCAAUUUUGGUUACAGACGAGCAUGCGCUCCAUUAGCCAGUUGGCGGGGUAACGGCCCACCAAGGCGACGAUGGAUAGGGGUUCUGAGAGGAAGGUCCCCCACAUUGGAACUGAGACACGGUCCAA
rnacentral:rRNA from 1 species